CUCUCUGUGCGAUGCCUUGCUCGACAUCCCUCAUGGGCUGCUCAAGCCAGACACUCUACCCUGUGCAAUGAGCCUAGGCUCCAGGUGUGCAAGAGCUGUCUGGCCGGCGGCCUAUUGCUUAAGCAUAGUUAGCCAAAUAUCAGUGGAAACCCCUUGUUCCAAAGCUACAAGUGCUUGGGCGAUAACCACCUUGUCUCUCUUAGUUUGAGCCCUGAGCCUACAGACCAGCCAGAGAAGCAACACCAAUCCGCAGCAAACGGCUGCACCAAACAAUCCCAUCCCCACCCAUUCCUUAAAAUAGGAGACAGCUGAAGCGAUCCAUGAUGACAAUCCCUCCGUCAAGGACAGGAGUUAAUCUGGAUAAUAGUGGCUCUCAACUCCCGGGGAGAGGGUGGAGUUCCGACUUUUGAGGGUCCGAAGGGGCUCUUUGGGUGUGAGUUUUAACUAUGCUGUGAUAAUGUUUUUCAAUGCCUAUAACUUCCAGGUAUUUCUAAUAUUUCUAAUAAUUUACUCUAUUUGGGUGUAAUUCUUCAAAUGGUGGGAAUGACAUUGGAGACCAUUUUCUUAUUCCAAACAAUAGAGAAAAAUUUUCUAUUUUCCUAUUCUAUUGCUAAGGAAUAUGCUUCAUUUUGUUUUCAGAUAUUUAUUAUCUUAAGAAGCUUUCUUUAAAUUGCUUCAUGUUGAGUUUUAAUCUCAAUAUGUGUUGCUUAUCUUUCUUUUCAAGCAACAACUUUAUGGCAUUUUUAGAGGUAACACUGUUUCUUUUGCUUGCCUGCAUCUGACAUGGUAUGUGCUAGUAGGGGUUCAUAUCUGAAAAUAUUAUAAUCACUCUGGGAUGAGUCCUUAACCAUCACCCAAGUCAUUCAAGCUUUCCUAUAUAAUUUAAUAUCAUAGCUCUACAAGCUUUAUAUAACAAAUUAUAAAGAAACCUUU
rnacentral:lncRNA from 1 species